rnacentral:rRNA from 1 species
UAAGGAAUAUUGGUCAAUGGAGGCAACUCUGAACCAGCCAUGCCGCGUGCAGGAAGACGGCCCUCUGGGUUGUAAACUGCUUUUAUUCGGGAAUAAACCUGCUUACGUGUAAAUAGCUGAAUGUACCGAAGGAAUAAGGAUCGGCUAACUCCGUGCCAGCAGCCGCGGUAAUACGGAGGAUCCAAGCGUUAUCCGGAUUUAUUGGGUUUAAAGGGUGCGUAGGCGGCUUAUUAAGUCAGGGGUGAAAGACGGUGGCUCAACCAUCGUAGUGCCCUUGAUACUGAUGAGCUUGAAUGGACUAGAGGUAGGCGGAAUGUGACAAGUAGCGGUGAAAUGCAUAGAUAUGACAUAGAACACCAAUUGCGAAGGCAGCUGGCUACGCAUAUAUUGACACUGAGGCACGAAAGCGUGGGGAUCAAACA